UAAAAGCUGCGAUUCCAUUCUCGUAUGAACCCAGGGAUGUCCCUACUACUUACAAUACCGAAACAGGAGCACGGGCCUUACUUGUUUGACUCUCCAUAUGAGCUACCCUUCUCUUAUUCUGAAACUAAUGUCCUCAACCCUUGCUUCACAGCCUAUGAGCUUGUCCGCUCUCCCCCGCCUCACCAUGAUGCUUGGUCUAAUAAUCGAAUUUGCUACCUGACCUAAGACUUAAAGAAGUGUCUCAAUGUUGACCGAAGAAUGUUUUUGUUGUCCGAUCACCCUGCAAUGCACGAGUGAAUGAGCGCGCCUAACCUUCUAUGCACGAACCAUCGAUGCACGACCGAAGUAUCAUGCCAUACCAUCUCAUACCAUAGUACCACAUACUAUAUCAUACCAUAUCAUGCCAUACCAUAUCAUGCCAUACUAGGGAGCGAUGUAUCCCGUUGAAUUGAAUGAGCGAGGCGAGGUACAUUGAUGCCUGGGUGAAUGAUCCGCGUAGUACGUUGUUUCGGCUAGACCAAGCAAUACCUUUGUUUCGCCCGGCCCGAGGAAUCAAUGUUGUUUUGCCCAAGACCUUCGUUGUCCUGUCCCCCGGCCCAUCGACCUGUUUACUGCUAGGUAAGUUGCCCGGCCCCAAGAACAGUAGCUUGCCCGGCCCUUCGAACGUCUGAUUACCCUUCGAUGCACGACCGAACCAACAAUGCACGAGUGCCUUGCCUGGGAUAUCAUAGACUAAUAGACGAUACUAAAGGAAUGAGCGGACAAAACUGCUUUCUUUAUUAAAGACAUCAUUCAUGGACAACGCGUUUGCUUGUGCUCGCGGGGCGAGGUGAUCCGACCCUUAGCUUAUUAUUAGUACUAAUUAAAGUAAGCCAUCCUAUGUACGCGCAACACCAUUAUCAUGACUAUACAAUGUCUCCUGUAUUCUUCAUUGCAUUCUUAUUAACACUUGUUUAGCUCUUUGGCUCUUCCCCUCCUCAGCUACAUUCUUUCACUACCAACUUUCAUUCUGUUAGCUACUUGAUCCGGGUCCUUGCUUAUUGGGUUGACUCUCCCCUGCCACCAUACAUACUAUCAAGCCUAUAUGUAUUUUCUUUCUUUCUUUACUUGAUCUUUUCUUUUAUUUGAUAGUUGUUAGUAUGCCUCUCUCUACUUGCAAACUAAACUAGUUCACAAUAAUACUUGAUCUUCUAGUAUAGAAUGGAAUGAAUAGGUACGAGCCUAGGGCGCAUCUAGGGAGUCAACUUCUUAUGUUUCUUCUAUUGAUCUCGUCUCUAAGACUAGGAUUCAACUUCCACUUGGGACAUUCGAAUUAUGUUGUUGACUUAUAGCUUGCUGUUCACUUGAUAACGGAACUCUCUGAAGCACUACUUGCUGCUGACUUUGGAAUUGAUACUGCAUCUUCUGUUGUUUAUUAUACGGAUAAUUCUAUAGGCGCCGAUACAGAAAAAGAUGAAACUAAUUCACGACGCGCGGAAGAAGAAACUCUCCUAUAAGAAUGAAAGGCAAAAAGAGUCUGGUGACGUGUGACACUCAAGCAGCUAUAAGAUACCACGGAAGUAAAGGCAAAGAAUCAAGCAUAGAAUAUUCGAAUAAAGGAUAUGGGUAUGACCUAGCACAUUACGACCUAGCACAUUACGAUAUAUGAAUUAGUAUUAGGCAUAAGAAAAAGAAUAUGGAUAUGUAUUUUCAAUAGCAAAUAGGGACUCAGGGUAUCCUGAUUAAAGAGUUCAAUUACUACGUUUAGAGGUUUAUUCCCAUCGUAAGGAGCCUAGUCCUGGUGUUGGUAUGUUUAUUCCUCGGAUUAAUAAGUAAAUGACUUGGAUUACUAACUGGCUAUUCUUCUCUCGUGGACGUCAAGCCCAUGUCCUGUGUUCAUUGCCUCUGGCAACUAUCUGAUAUAAUACCUCGGGCAACUCUCACUAUGGCAACUCUACCUUAAUCCGGCUAAUCUACUAAUAUUCCAUUCCAUUCUUAUGUCAAAUAAGGGGUUUCCUCGGUUUCCUAUCAGUCAUGGAGACUCCUUUUACAGGGGAGAUACCUUUUCUGGUAGGGAGGAAUCAUUUCCAGGGGCAACAAC
rnacentral:lncRNA from 1 species